rnacentral:lncRNA from 1 species
CCUUCUCUUGGAAGAAGAAGUCCGCUCCACAGCAAGAAUAGUGCCCUUUGAACUCUUCAAGGUGCCCUCUGUAGUAACCAACAUGUUGAUGAGUUCAAAAAUAGUGCAGUCAAAUUUGUUCAUAUGAAAAUUCAUAAUGAAUUGACUAUAUGAACUAGUAAGAGAUUGAAAGAUCAAAUUCAUCUGUAAUUUCUUUUGCAUAUCUAGCCCGAGCUUCUUAAGCUCCUCAAUAUCCUUGAUCACUAUCAUACAGUGCUCAUAGACAGACUGCCCCUCGUGCAUCUUC